ensembl:snoRNA
UUUGAUAUUUUGAUUGUAAUACAUUUUUUGAACUGUAAGCCACCUAGAAUCAUUGACUCAAAUGGGUAGCUAUAGAAAUUGAGUAAA